GACUGCCCUAACCUUACCAAGAUAAAAAGAGUGGGGCUCAAAAGAGAUUAUGUUGAAGGCACUCGUUGAUUCCGGUGCUUCAAGCAACUUUAUUGAUUUAGAUGUGGUGUAUAGGAAUGAAAUAGCAUUAAAGAAAAAACAAAAUUCA